UUUAUGAUGUUUGUUUAAAAAAAGUUAUUUAUAAUAAUAGUUUUUAAAAAAGAUUUGUGAUGUUAGUAAAAAUAAGAUUUGCUUAAAAUGAUUAGCUUUUUAAUAUUUAUUAGAAAAAAUUGAUUUAAAAAGUUGAUUUAAAAAAGUUGAAUUAAAAAUAAUUUUUUUUUUUAGGAAUUAGAUUUAUAAAACCAACUUAAAAUGAUUUUAAAUUUGAUUAGAAAAUUGUUAUGUUCUUUUUAUUUUAUUUUUUAUAUAAAGUUUAAUCAAAAC
rnacentral:lncRNA from 1 species